rnacentral:rRNA from 1 species
CCUACGGGAGGCAGCAGCGAGGAAUAUUGGUCAAUGGGCGCUAGCCUGAACCAGCCAAGUAGCGUGAAGGAUGACUGCCCUAUGGGUUGUAAACUUCUUUUAUACGGGAAUAAAGUGCAGCACGUAUACUGUUUUGUAUGUACCGUAUGAAUAAGGAUCGGCUAACUCCGUGCCAGCAGCCGCGGUAAUACGGAGGAUCCGCGCGUUAUCCGGAUUUAUUGGGUUUAAAGGGAGCGUAGGCGGGUUGUUAAGUCGGUUGUGAAAGUUUGCGGCUCAACCGUAAAAUUGCAGUUGAUACUGGCGUCCUUGAGUACAGUAGAGGUAGGCGGAAUUCGUGGUGUAGCGGUGAGAUGCUUAGAUAUCACGAAGAACUCCGAUUGCGAAGGCAGCCUGCUGGAAUGUAACUGACGCUGAUGCUCGAGAGUGUGGGUAUCAAACAGGAUUAGAUACCCCUGUAGUC